rnacentral:rRNA from 1 species
GGGUGUGAUUAUAAUAGAGUUCAUGCACUGGAUCCCAUCAGAACUCCGUAGUUAAGUGUGCUUGGGCUAGAGUAGUACUGGGAUGACUGACCUCCCGGGAAGUCCUAGUGUUGCACCCU